rnacentral:misc_RNA from 1 species
AUAAAGCGUUAGGGAUUGAAGUGAAAAUCCCGCAGCGGCGCAGCAAGCGAGGAAUUGUAGCAUAAAGCCCGACCAGAA